GCUGUACCCGAUGGCGUCGUCAUGCUUCCGGGCUUUCAUCUUCACCGAGCAGACCGCAUCACGGAGUUGUUGGGGAAAACAGAAGGCGGCGUGAUAUGCUUCUACAUCAAUGAAAAAUGGUGUACGGACGUCACGGAGCUCAGCACACCCUGCAGCCCGCAUUUGGAGUCGUCGUUUUUGAACUGACUUUAAACAGACAGAUCUCCUUUACUCACCAUCUAGUGAGGCGGAGCAAAAUGCUCCACUGACGUCGAGGAAGGUGACAAAAAAGGUAAUGAUGUGCUUGCGGCGGAAGGUCGGUGGAGAGCCGGACGAAGAAGGGACCUGGAGCAAGAUCGGAG